GACAGAGGGUGCAAACGUUGCUCGGAAUCACUGGGCGUAAAGGGCGUGUAGGCGGUCAGGUAAGUCGGGCGUGAAAUCCCUGAGCUCAACUCAGGAACUGCACUCGAAACUACUUGUCUUGAGUACCGGAGAGGAAAGCGGAAUACCUGGUGUAGAGGUGAAAUUCGUAGAUAUCAGGUGGAACACCAGUGGCGAAGGCGGCUUUCUGGACGGUAACUGACGCUGAGACGCGAAAGCGUGGGGAGCAAACAGG
rnacentral:rRNA from 1 species